AUUGAACGCUGGCGGCAGGCCUAACACAUGCAAGUCGAGCGAGCGGCGGACGGGUGAGUAAUGUCUGGGAAACUGCCUGAUGGAGGGGGAUAACUACUGGAAACGGUGGCUAAUACCGCAUACCAUCAGAUGUGCCCAGAUGGGAUUAGCUAGUAGGUGGGGUAACGGCUCACCUAGGCGACGAUCCCUCGCUGGUCUGAGAGGAUGACCAGGCAAACGGGAACUGAGACACGGUGCAAACGCCUAGGGGAGGCAGCAGUGGGGAAUAGUGCACAAUGGGAGAAAGCCUGAUAGAGCCAUGCAGCGUGUGGGAAGAAGGCCUUCGGGUUGUAAAGCACUUUCAGCGGGGAGGCGUUACCCGCAGAAGAAGCACCGGCUAACUACGUGCCAGCAGCCGCGGUAAUUC
rnacentral:rRNA from 1 species